rnacentral:rRNA from 1 species
AGGAUGAACGCUGGCGGCGUGCUUAACACAUGCAAGUCGAACGCGGCCCUUCGGGGCCGAGUGGCGAAUGGGUGAGUAACACGUAGGUACCUGCCGCAAAGUGGGGAAUAACCCCGCGAAAGCGGGGCUAAUACCGCAUGUGACCGGGAACGGGGAAAGUCGGAAGACGCUUUGCGAGGGGCCUGCGGCCCAUCAGCUAGUUGGUAGGGUAACGGCCUACCAAGGCGAUGACGGGUAGGGGGCCUGAGAGGGUGCUCCCCACAUUGGCACUGACACACGGGCCAAACUCCUACGGGAGGCAGCAGUGAGGAAUAUUGCACAAUGGGCGCAAGCCUGAUGCAGCAACGCCGCGUGGAGGAUGAAGGCCUUCGGGUCGUAAACUCCUUUUGAGGGGAAAGAGAGCGGACGGUACCCCUCGAAUAAGUCACGGCUAACUACGUGCCAGCAGCCGCGGUAAAACGUAGGUGGCGAGCGUUAUCCGGAUUUACUGGGCGUAAAGAGCCUGCGGGCAGCUUGUCAGGUCGAGUGUGAAAUCUCCCGGCUCAACUGGGAGGGUGCGCUCGAAACCGGCAGGCUUGAGGGCCAGAGAGGGACAUGGAAUUCCCGGAGUAGUGGUAAAAUGCGUUGAUACCGGGAGGAACACCAGUGGCGAAAGCGAUGUCCUGGCUGGAACCUGACGCUUAGGGGCGAAAGCGUGGGGAGCGAACGGGAUUAGAUACCCCGGUAGUCCACGCUGUAAACGAUGAUGACUGGGCGUGGGCCGUUUGACCCGGUCCGUGCCGAAGCUAACGCGAUAAGUCAUCCGCCUGAGGAGUACGGCCGCAAGGCUAAAACUCAAAGGAAUUGACGGGGGCCCGCACAAGCGGCGGAGCGUGUGGUUUAAUUCGAUUCUACACGAAGAACCUCACCCAGGCUUGACAUGUAGGUGGUAGGGAAGCGAAAGCGGACCGACCCGCAAGGGAGCCUGCACAGGUGCUGCAUGGCUGUCGUCAGCUCGUGCCGUGAGGUGUUAGGUUAAGUCCUGUAACGAGCGCAACCCGCGUCGUCAGUUACAAGUGUCUGGCGAGACUGCCGGUUUCAAGCCGGAGGAAGGUGCGGAUGACGUCAAGUCAGCAUGGCCUUUAUGUCUGGGGCUACACACACGCUACAAUGGGCAGUACAAAGGGAAGCCAACUCGCGAGAGGGAGCCAAUCCCAGAAAGCUGUUCUCAGUUCGGAUUGGAGGCUGCAACCCGCCUCCAUGAAGCCGGAGUCGCUAGUAACCGCGCGUCAGCUAUAGUGCGGUGAAUACGUUCCCGGGCCUUGUACACACCGCCCGUCACGUCAUGGGAGCUGGUAACACCUGAAGUCGGGUAGCCAACCGCAAGGGGGCGCCUGCCGAAGGUGGGGCCGGUACUGGGACGAAGUCGUAACAAGGUA